rnacentral:rRNA from 1 species
GACGAACGCUGGCGGCGUGCUUAACACAUGCAAGUCGAACGGAAAGGCACUGCUUUUGUGGGGUGCUCGAGUGGCGAACGGGUGCGUAACAGGUGUGUAACCUGCCCUUGUUUUUGGGAUAACUUCAGGAAACUGGGGCUAAUACCGUAUAGGAGCCCCUGUUCCAUGGUGGGGGUUGGAAAUUUUCGGCGGUUGGGGAUGGAUUCGCGGCUUAUCAGCUUGUUGGUGGGGUAGUGGCUUACCAAGGCUUUGACGGGUCGCCGGCAUGAGAGGGUGGCCGGCCACAUUGGGACUAAGAUACGGCCCAGACGCCUACGGGAGGCAGCAGGGGGGAAUAUUGCACAGUGGGCGGAAGCCUGAUGCAGCAACGCCGCGGGCGGGAUGACGGCCUUCGGGUUGUAAACCGCUUUCGCCUGUGACGAAGCGUGAGUGACGGUAAUGGGUAAAGAAGCACCGGCUAACUACGUG